rnacentral:rRNA from 1 species
UACGGGGGGGGCAAGCGUUGUUCGGAAUUACUGGGCGUAAAGGGCUCGUAGGCGGCCAACUAAGUCGGAUGUGAAAUCCCCAAGCUUAACUUGGGAACUGCAUCCGAUACUGGAUGGCUUGAAUCCGGGAGAGGGAUGCAGAAUUCCAGGUGUAGCGGUGAAAUGCGUAGAUAUCUGGAGGAAUACCGGUGGCGAAGGCGGCAUCCUGGACCGGCAUUGACGCUGAGGAGCGAAAGCGUGGGUAGCAAACAGG